rnacentral:rRNA from 1 species
UACGGAGGGGGCUAGCGUUGUUCGGAAUUACUGGGCGUAAAGCGCACGUAGGCGGCUUUGUAAGUUAGAGGUGAAAGCCCAGGGCUCAACCCUGGAAUUGCCUUUAAGACUGCAUCGCUUGAACAUCGGAGAGGUAAGUGGAAUUCCGAGUGUAGAGGUGAAAUUCGUAGAUAUUCGGAAGAACACCAGUGGCGAAGGCAGCUCGCUGGGACGUGACUGACGCUGAGACGCGAAAGCGUGGGGGGCAAACAGG